rnacentral:rRNA from 1 species
AGGACGAACGCUGGCGGCGUGCCUAACACAUGCAAGUCGAACGCGCUCCAUUCGGUAGCAAUACUGAUGAAGAGCGAGUGGCGAACGGGUGAGUAGCACGUGAGCAACCUGCCCCGAAGACCGGGACAACACCGGGAAACCGGUGCUAAUACCGGAUAUCCCUAUCGGACCGCAUGAUCUGAUAAGGAAAUGGAUUCCGCUUCGGGAGGGGCUCGCGGCCUAUCAGCUAGUUGGUGAGGUAACGGCCCACCAAGGCAUCGACGGGUAGCUGGUCUGAGAGGACGAUCAGCCACACUGGGACUGAGACACGGCCCAGACUCCUACGGGAGGCAGCAGUGGGGAAUCUUGCGCAAUGGGCGAAAGCCUGACGCAGCAACGCCGCGUGGAGGACGAAGGCUUUCUGAGUUGUAAACUCCUUUCAGCAGGGACGAUAGUGACGGUACCUGCAGAAGAGCACCGGCCAACUACGCGCCAGCAGCCG